rnacentral:siRNA from 1 species
GAAGAAAAUGGGGUUGUCUCUUA